rnacentral:misc_RNA from 1 species
AAGGGAACCUGAUAUCAGGAGCUGUAAACAAAACCAAUGGGUCAAAGUAAAUGCAGAAAAUAAGUGAGCACCCCUCCUCCAUUUUCCAAAGAAAAAAAAUGUAAAAUAAAUAAAAAGAACCAUUCAAUACAGUUAUGGCGGUCAAAAGGCAUUAUCCCAUGCAUUAGUAACAGAAGGAUAAUUGAAUUGAAAACAAAUGAAUAGUCCGAGUGCGUUGCAACUAACUAUUACAUUUGUCUAAUCAGAUUUCACCUUUACACCAAAGACGUAAGAUUGCUAUGAAUUUAGAAUUGGCUUUUGUAGGCUACUUACUAGUAGCUCAGCUUUCAUAGAACACAAAAACAUGCUCUCAUUAAGAACUAGAGAAUUUAAAUCCUAACAUAUGCACUUCGAAGCAUUGUGCAUGAUGCAUGCACCUCUUGGGCAUAACACUUUUUUACAUGUCAUUGCAAUAUUGUGCUUCACUUGCAACUACAACAGAAAUUGAGUUGUUUGAUGAACAAAUUGUAAUUACCACAUCAUUUUACCAUGUUAAGAAAUGAAGACUAAUCAAUUCACUAAUGUGAAAGAUUUGUACUGUAGUUAACUGUGAUGUUGAUUGAUGAGCAAAUUGAAUUCCUGAAAGAUAGCACAAUUUAAUGAUUUAUACAUAAAGUAGCUGAAUACCUGAAGUUCAUGUUCAUUGAACAU